UCGCCUUCAAGACGAUGUCAUUGAACUCGCCAAGAUAGCAAAGUUAUUGUUGGCAGUUGAGAGUGGCAAAGCUCACCAAUUCAAAGGAAUUUCCAUGGAUGAUUUAGAUUUUGAUGAUAUUCCAGAAGUAGGUGAAGAAGAAGAAGAGAUUGUGGAAAAACCAAUGGAGUGUGAUACUGAUCAACUGCCAGCUGAGCAUGCAGACUGUGAAUCUGGCCGAAACACAAAGAUACCAG